CUUGCACCGAUUUCUUCUCCCCCCUCCCCCCAUGGAGAUAUUAUCAUUUCAGGCUGUUUGUUCUCAUGGAUAUCUUUAAGGGUCCUUAACACCCCCCCAUGGCCACCAAAGAUGCUAAUGGAUGGGCAUUGGUCCCAGAUGGCCCCUAACGAGUUACAGAAGUCGAGGCUCAGCAAAACAAAGCACGGAGGUGCCCAGCAAGCUUUGCCCAAGUGAAGGCCUUCCGCCCCUGCUGGAAGCAAUCAUGGAAUCCCCAGUGACUUCAGCAGGAGCUCCAGGCCUUCAGCAUUUGUGUAUGUACAGGUGCUGAGGAGCCGAAGUGCCCUGUACCCCCAAACUU
rnacentral:lncRNA from 1 species